UACGUAGGGGGCUAGCGUUAUCCGGAAUUACUGGGCGUAAAGGGUGCGUAGGUGGUUUCUUAAGUCAGAGGUGAAAGGCUACGGCUCAACCGUAGUAAGCCUUUGAAACUGGGAAACUUGAGUGCAGGAGAGGAGAGUGGAAUUCCUAGUGUAGCGGUGAAAUGCGUAGAUAUUGGGAAGAACACCGGUGGCGAAGGCGACUUGCUGGGCAGCAACUGACGCUGAGGCGCGAAAGCGUGGGGAGCAAACAGGAUUAGAUACCCUGGUAGUCCCUGAGCGGG
rnacentral:rRNA from 1 species